rnacentral:rRNA from 1 species
CUACGGGUCGCUGCAGUAAGGAAUAUUGCGCAAUGGAGGCAACUCUGAUGCAGCAACGCCGCGUGGAGGAUGACACUUUUCGGAGCGUAAACUCCUUUUAUAUAGGAAGAAGAUGACGGUACUAUAUGAAUAAGCGCCGGCUAACUCCGUGCCAGCAGCCGCGGUAUACGGAGGGCGCAAGCGUUACUCGGAAUCACUGGGCGUAAAGAGCGUGUAGGCGGAUUAAAAAGUCAGAAGUGAAAUCCUAUAGCUUAACUAUAGAACUGCUUCUGAAACUCUUAAUCUAGAAUAUGGGAGAGGUAGAUGGAAUUUCUGGUGUAGGGGUGAAAUCCGUAGAGAUCAGAAGGAAUACCGAUUGCGAAGGCGAUCUACUAGAACAUUAUUGACGCUGAGACGCGAAAGCGUGGGGAGCAAACAGGAUUAGAUACCCCUGUAGUC